rnacentral:rRNA from 1 species
GAGCAACGCCGCGUGAGGGACGAAGGCCUCUGGGCUGUAAACCUCUUUUCUCAAGGAAGAAGAUCUGACGGUACUUGAGGAAUAAGCCACGGCUAAUUCCGUGCCAGCAGCCGCGGUAAUACGGGAGUGGCAAGCGUUAUCCGGAAUUAUUGGGCGUAAAGCGUCCGCAGGCGGCCUGAUAAGUCUGUUGUCAAAGCGUGGAGCUCAACUCCAUUUCGGCAAUGGAAACUGUGAGGCUUGAGUGUGGUAGGGGCAGAGGGAAUUCCCGGUGUAGCGGUGAAAUGCGUAGAUAUCGGGAAGAACACCAGUGGCGAAGGCGCUCUGCUGGGCCAUAACUGACGCUCAUGGACGAAAGCCAGGGGAGCGAAAGGGAUUAGAUACCCCUGUAGUCCUGGCCGUAAACGAUGAACACUAGGUGUCGGGGGAAUCGACCCCCUCGGUGUCGUAGCCAACGCGUUAAGUGUUCCGCCUGGGGAGUACGCACGCAAGUGUGAAACUCAAAGGAAUUGACGGGGGCCCGCACAAGCGGUGGAGUAUGUGGUUUAAUUCGAUGCAACGCGAAGAACCUUACCAGGGUUUGACAUCCUACGAAUCCCUUGGAAACUUGGGAGUGCCUUCGGGAGCGCAGUGACAGGUGGUGCAUGGCUGUCGUCAGCUCGUGUCGUGAGAUGUUGGGUUAAGUCCCGCAACGAGCGCAACCCACGUCUUUAGUUGCCAGCAUUCAGUUGGGCACUCUAGAGAGACCGCCGGUGAUAAACCGGAGGAAGGUGUGGAUGACGUCAAGUCAUCAUGCCCCUUACAUCCUGGGCUACACACGUACUACAAUGCUACGGACAAAGGGCAGCAAACUCGCGAGAGCUAGCAAAUCCCAUAAACCGUGGCUCAGUUCAGAUCGUAGGCUGCAACUCGCUUACGUGAAGGAGGAAUCGCUAGUAAUCGCAGGUCAGCAUACUGCGGUGAAUACGUUCCCGGGCCUUUGUACACACCGCCCGUCACACCAUGGAAGUUGGCCACGCCCGAAGCCGUUACUCCAACCCUUGUGGAGGAGGACGUCGAAGGUGGGGCUGAUAACUGGGGUGAAGUCGUAACAAGGUAGCCGUACCGGAAGGUG